rnacentral:rRNA from 1 species
AUACGGAGGGUGCAAGCGUUAUCCGGAUUCAUUGGGUUUAAAGGGUGCGCAGGCGGAAUGAUAAGUCAGUGGUGAAGUCCUACAGCUUGACUGUAGAACCGCCAUUGAUACUGUCAUUCUUGAGUACACUUGAAGUGGGCGGAAUGUAUCAUGUAGCGGUGAAAUGCAUAGAUAUGAUACAGAACUCCGAUAGCGAAGGCAGCUCACUAAAUUGUAACUGACGCUCAGGCACGAAAGCGUGGGGAGCAAACAGGAUUAGAAACCCCAGUAGUCC